CCGCUACUGGGCCCGCCGCUAGGGCCCGGAUCCGCAGUGCUGGGGACGAUGGUAGUGUUGCUCACGGCGCUGCUCGCGGCGUUCUCCCUCCUGCUUCAACACAUCAAACACACAGCAAGGAGGGGGAAGAGGAACCGGUUCGUGGGAGAUUUACUGUCAGUUCUGAGAAGUCAGGCUUGUGAACCAUGGUCCUAUCCUGGCAUCAAUUCAAGUAAACAUGACUGCCAAAGAAUUUUUCAAGGUCCAGAUGAGUUGAUAUCAGAUACUGAUCAAGGCACACCUGAAAGUCCAAGAACCUGAGAUUGAAGGGUAUGCUACCUAUUGAAACCACUCUUCAACAGGAAGCAGGGAAAUGUGAAGUGACUUCAGUAACAGAAGAAUGUAAAUAAGUCUCUUUAUAACUGAAGGGGUUAUUGAGAUUACUUCAGAAGUUUUAAAGUAAUUUGAAUAAAUUAUCAUACGUUUUUUCCUGAUUUCAAUGUCUCUACUCAAAAAGAGGUUGUUCAAAAUUGAACGAAAUGUCUCCAGACAAGAACCGCUGCAUUCAGGCCAACCAUCCGAUUCGAUGCCUUCGGGGUGGAGAGAGGGAGAAAGUAAAAGGCACCAAAUCACCCUAGUUGCCCAGGCCUAAAAGGCAGGGUGUCAUUUUUGAUUUCCUUCAAGAAACUUCCAGAUUGGAGUGCAGUGGCACGAUCCUGGCUCACUGCAACCUCUGCCUCCCGGGUUCAAGAGA
rnacentral:lncRNA from 1 species